ACUCAAAGGAAUUGACGGGGGCCCGCACAAGCGGCGGAGCAUGUGGAUUAAUUCGAUGCAACGCGAAGAACCUUACCAAGGCUUGACAUACACCGGAAACGGCCAGAGAUGGUCGCCCCCUUGUGGUCGGUGUACAGGUGGUGCAUGGUUGUCGUCAGCUCGUGUCGUGAGAUGUUGGGUUAAGUCCCGCAACGAGCGCAACCCUCGUUCUAUGUUGCCAGCACGUUAUGGUGGGGACUCAGUGGAGACCGCCGGGGUCAACUCGGAGGAAGGUGGGGAUGACGUCAAGUCAUCAUGCCCCUUAUGUCCAGGGCUUCACGCAUGCUACAAUGGCUGGUACAGAGAGUGGCGAGCCUGUGAGGGUGAGCGAAUCUCGGAAAGCCGGUCUCAGUUCGGAUUGGGGUCUGCAA
rnacentral:rRNA from 14 species